rnacentral:snRNA from 1 species
UUAGAUUUAACAAAACAAAACGA